CUCUUUCGCACCCAGGCCCAAGCUCGUGCUUGUCAAUAUCCUGCAUGAUUCUAUGCCGUUGUAUUGAAAAUAACUGCAAGAUCAACAGAUCUGUUGGAAGUUUCAGGAUUGGGAAGAGCUCAAGCCAACAUCAAAUCGAUUUGAAAGGCCAGUGAUAAUUCAAAUAAGCAUUUACCAGAACCACAAGAAGUAACUGUAUGAUAUCUCAAUUGGCAGAAAAAAUGUUAUCAAUGUUAUCAUAUGUACUAAAAAAGCUUAUAUUUGGUCCAUUUUUCAUACAAAAAAAAAAAAAUUAAAACUUCAUUAAAAUAGAGUUGACAUAUUGGAAUUUUGAUUUAUAUCUUACCUUCCUCUCUUCCUCGUCAAUUCUUCGAUUGGUAGCGAUGUCCAAUCGUUCUGAAAACUCCAAUAGACUUUUGAAUUUUUCAGUUAAAAUCCAAUCCAAAGGGCUAAAAUGAAAUUCAUUCCCAUUUUAAGGAGUUCUUCGAUAGAUUCGAGUGAAAUUUCACAAAAUUCUUUUUCAUGUACAUACGAAUAGGUACAUACGUAUUUUUUCUUGCGAUCCGGAAUUUUUGCAAAGGUUAAAAAACAAAAUUCUUGUUUCCUUGAAAAUCUGCUGGAGACUCAAGAAUAAUUUGAAAAUUUAACCAGCCCAUUUGAACGAUCAAAAAUCAAAUAUGAAACCAAUGACUUAUUUGUGAAAAAUGAAUUUUGCCUACUUAAGUUGAAGAAAUAUAUGAAUUUGAACCAACAAAAACAGAAUUUCCUUUUUUUUCAACU